AGAGUUUGAUCCUGGCUCAGGAUGAACGCUGGCGGCGUGCCUAAUACAUGCAAGUCGAACGCUUUGUGGUCCAACUGAUUUGAAGAGCUUGCUCAGAUAUGACGAUAGACAUUGCAAAGAGUGGCGAACGGGUGAGUAACACGUGGGAAACCUACCUCUUAGCAGGGGAUAACACUUGGAAACAAGUGCUAAUACCGUAUAACACUAAUAACCGCAUGGUUAUUAGUUAAAAGAUGGUCUUGCUAUCACUAAGAGAUGGUCCCGCGGUGUAUUAGCUAGUUGGUAAGGUAAUGGCUUACCAAGGCAAUGAUACAUAGCCGAGUUGAGAGACUGAUCGGCCACAAUGGGACUGAGACACGGCCAUACUCCUACGGGAGGCAGCAGUAGGGAUCUUCCACAAUGGACGAAAGUCUGAUGGAGCAACGCCGCGUGUGAUGAAGGGUUUCGGCUCGUAAACACUGUUGUAAGAGAAGAAUGACAUUGAGAGUAACUGUUCAGUGUGUGACGGUAUCUUACCAGAAAGGAACGGCUAAAUACGUGCCAGCAGCCGCGGUAAUACGUAUGUUCCAAGCGUUAUCCGGAUUUAUUGGGCGUAAAGCGAGCGCAGACGGUUAUUUAAGUCCGAAGUGAAAGCCCACAGCUUAACUGUGGAAGUGCUUUGGAACUGGAUAACUUGAGUGCAGUAGAGGAGAGUGGAACUCCAUGUGUAGCGGUGAAAUGCGUAGAUAUAUGGAAGAACACCAGUGGCGAAGGCGGCUCUCUGGACUGUAACUGACGUUGAGGCUCGAAAGUGUGGUAGCAAACAGGAUUAGAUACCCUGGUAGUCCACACCGUAAACGAUGAGUGCUAGAUGUUUGAGGGUUUCCGCCCUUAAGUGUCGCAGCUAACGCAUUAAGCACUCCGCUGGGGAGUACGACCGCAAG
rnacentral:rRNA from 1 species